CUCUUAUCAUGAGCUGGCUGAGGGAUUGGCCCUUUGAAGCCCAGCAACCGACCGUAAAUUCAUUUGUUAAAUGGAGCGUUAGUUUAGCGCGGGGGUAAUACCCUAAUUCGGCACGGUGCUAAUUCCAACAGAAGGAUUUACUUUCUGAGAGAUAAGAG
rnacentral:ncRNA from 2 species